AAUAUAACUAGACCAUAACAUUUACGAUCUACUUUUUUUUUCUGAAGAUUGCUUUGUGUUCUUCGAUCCCUAUAUCUCCAAAUUGUUAUUCUUGAUUCUUCAGUGGAGAUAGAAACUCUCUAAGCCACGCUCUAAGACAAAGACACCUCCCUCAAGAAUAAGUUUUCCGAAUUGGAUGAGGUUAAUAGGGAAACAGGAAGAGAAGUUACUUACCUUUGUUUCAGCCUCAGAGACGUUGACACAGCAUUUGAAAAGUGGAAACCAGAAUAUGAAGGAGAACAUGGAGAGAUGGAGGAAAGAGAUAAGCUCAAACCAGGCAUGUGGUACCCUAUAUUAAUGUGUUAAUCUUCUUCCCCUGGACUUGCUUCUGACUUCUUGUGAAGUGUAAAAUCAUGGCUGUCUUGGUCCACAUAUAUACCUGGGACUAGAGCGUCUGGAGUCUCAAAAGUGCCUUGUGGAAGAAGAACAAAAGAGUAACUUCUUACGGUAUAAGAAACGAGCCAACGAGAUAUACAAUAUGGCAGAGGAUCGGAAGUCAACCAGUGGAAGGAAUCAGGUUGCUCUUUGGCUGCUUAAUUAACCAUUACUUUCCGGCAAGAGGACAAGCCACGAACCAUCAAAAGUACCAAACAAUCUUAUCGUUUUUGUUUUCUGGGUUUGUUAAUUUUAAUGAUUAUUCUUACACAGAGCCUUUGGUUGCAAGAGGAGUCAGAUAUCGAUUGCAGCAGCAGUUAUAUACAUAAAAACACUUCUCUGAUGAGAAGAAGUUCAAGAUC